rnacentral:rRNA from 1 species
GAUGAACGCUGGCGGCGUGCUUAACACAUGCAAGUCGAACGGAAAGGCUCCUGCUUGCAGGGGUACUCGAGUGGCGAACGGGUGAGUAACACGUGGGUGAUCUGCCCUGCACUUCGGGAUAAGCCUGGGAAACUGGGUCUAAUACCGGAUAGGACGAUGGUUUGGAUGCCAUUGUGGAAAGUUUUUCGGUGUGGGAUGAGCUCGCGGCCUAUCAGCUUGUUGGUGGGGUAAUGGCCUACCAAGGCGUCGACGGGUAGCCGGCCUGAGAGGGUGUACGGCCACAUUGGGACUGAGAUACGGCCCAGACUCCUACGGGAGGCAGCAGUGGGGAAUAUUGCACAAUGGGCGCAAGCCUGAUGCAGCGACGCCGCGUGGGGGAUGACGGCCUUCGGGUUGUAAACUCCUUUCGCUAGGGACGAAGCGCAAGUGACGGUACCUGGAGAAGAAACACCGGCUAACUACGU